rnacentral:rRNA from 1 species
ACCAUGCAGUCGAACGCUGAAGCACCAGCUUGCUGGUGUGGAUGAGUGGCGAACGGGUGAGUAAUACGUGAGUAACCUGCCCUUGACUCUGGGAUAAGCCCGGGAAACUGGGUCUAAUACUGGAUGCUACAUGUCACCGCAUGGUGGUGUGUGGAAAGGGUUUACUGGUCUUGGAUGGGCUCACGGCCUAUCAGCUUGUUGGUGAGGUAAUGGCUCACCAAGGCGACGACGGGUAGCCGGCCUGAGAGGGUGACCGGCCACACUGGGACUGAGACACGGCCCAGACUCCUACGGGAGGCAGCAGUGGGGAAUAUUGCACAAUGGGCGAAAGCCUGAUGCAGCGACGCCGCGUGAGGGAUGACGGCCUUCGGGUUGUAAACCUCUUUCAGCAGGGAAGAAGCCACAAGUGACGGUACCUGCAGAAGAAGCGCCGGCUAACUACGUGCCAGCAGCCGCGGUAAUACGUAGGGCGCAAGCGUUGUCCGGAAUUAUUGGGCGUAAAGAGCUCGUAGGCGGUUUGUCGCGUCUGCUGUGAAAGCCCGGGGCUUAACCCCGGGUGUGCAGUGGGUACGGGCAGACUAGAGUGCAGUAGGGGAGACUGGAAUUCCUGGUGUAGCGGUGGAAUGCGCAGAUAUCAGGAGGAACACCGAUGGCGAAGGCAGGUCUCUGGGCUGUUACUGACGCUGAGGAGCGAAAGCAUGGGGAGCGAACAGGAUUAGAUACCCUGGUAGUCCAUGCCGUAAACGUUGGGCACUAGGUGUGGGGGACAUUCCACGUUUUCCGCGCCGUAGCUAACGCAUUAAGUGCCCCGCCUGGGGAGUACGGCCGCAAGGCUAAAACUCAAAGGAAUUGACGGGGGCCCGCACAAGCGGCGGAGCAUGCGGAUUAAUUCGAUGCAACGCGAAGAACCUUACCA